rnacentral:rRNA from 1 species
UACAGAGGUCUCAAGCGUUGUUCGGAUUCAUUGGGCGUAAAGGGCGCGUAGGCGGCGGGGUCAGUCGGGUGUGAAAUCUUGGGGCUUAACCCCGAAACGGCACUCGAAACUGCCCGGCUGGAGGGCCGGAGAGGAGAUCGGAAUUCACGGUGUAGCAGUGAAAUGCGUAGAGAUCGCGAGGAAGACCCGUGGCGAAGGCGGAUCUCUGGACGGCUAAAACUGACGCUGAGGCGCGAAGGCCAGGGGAGCAAACGGG